rnacentral:lncRNA from 1 species
GCGCGCCCGGUCUCCCGGAGGGGCUCACAGCGGGACGCAGAUACGCUGGCGGGUCCGUGUGUCUGUCCCCCAAGUCCCGGGCCCGGAGCGGGUGGAGGCCCGGGUCGCCCAGCGCCAGCGGCGAGGACCACGGAGCGAGGCGCCCAUGCACUGUCCUCGCGAGACUUUGAUCUCAGCGUCAGCUUCCGCGUUUCCAUGGCUUUCUGUACGCGAACACAUGCUCGGGCUCCUCGUUUCCUAGACCAGACCCGGAGUCAGCGCUCAGUCCAGAGACACGGUGCAGACUGGCGGACCCAGCGCCCGGCGAGUGGUGCUCCCGCUGUUUCCAGGCCUCUCAUGUGGGCAGAACCAGGCAGUGGAAACAGUCUCCACACCUACUUAUCAUCUCUCUAUCAUCUACCUCUCUGGCUGGCUGUCUACCCACCCACCAUCACCACCUAUCAUUGGUCUGUCAUCUGUCUAUCCAUCCAUCUGUCUGUCCAUCAUCUGUAGCUCCAUCUCUCCAUCCACCCAUCAUCUGCCAUCCAUAUGUCUCUGUCUCCAUCCACCAUCUAUUGAUCUGUCUACCCAUCACUCAUCUGUCACGCACCUAUCCACCUACCCAUCUGCAUCUGUUUCCUUCUCUUGUUGGAGGUGGGUGAACCUGGGGGACCCAAGGACCUGGCCUUGCUGCGCACACCUCUGCCCUGAGCGGGCCCUGGUCUCUCCCCUGCCAGCAUCUUUGGUCCCAGCGCAGCCUGGACGGUAGAACCAGGAUGUGCAUAAUCACUCCGUGGUUUUCUCUUGAGUCAUCAGGCCGGCAGUCUGAGAACAGCAAAGCCACUCAGGACCACCAGCAGCAUCACUGGAAACAAAUGCCCGGACCUUGCAGAGCAGCCAGAGGGCCGGGGCCCCAGCUGACGCCAGGUCCGGGGAAGCAGAGCCUGAGACAAGGACUCAGAUGUGGCAGAGGAGGCAGUGAGAGAUGUCAGAGGAGUCAGACAGAGCCAUCCAGGCACAUUCAACCGCACGGGACGCUGAGAGCCGUUUGGGGGAUGCCUGGUGUCCGCACCCUCCCAUGUGAAUGCGGUGUGAGCCAUGUGCGUCCAGCAACGCAUGGCCUCUGCAUGGGCAGCCUCCGGGGGGCCCUGUCACCCUACUUGCUGGUCCGAGGUGCUGUCCCUGCCCUACCUGAGCCGUCCUCGGCCUGGACCCUGCAGAGCAAAGAGGAGCUGUCUUGGGCAUACACAGAAUUACAGUAGAGUUACAGUAUGUAAACGACAAGGCUUCCUUUUUAAAAGUAAUUUUU